rnacentral:rRNA from 1 species
CCUACGGGAGGCAGCAGUAGGGAAUCUUCCACAAUGGACGAAAGUCUGAUGGAGCAACGCCGCGUGAGUGAAGAAGGGUUUCGGCUCGUAAAGCUCUGUUGGUCGUGAAGAAAGAUAGAGGUAGUAACUGGCCUUUAUUUGACGGUAAUUACUUAGAUAGUCACGGCUAACUACGUGCCAGCAGCCGCAGUAAUACGUAGGUGGCAAGCGUUGUCCGGAUUUAUUGGGCGUAAAGCGAGUGGAGGCGGUUCAAUAAGUCUGAUGUGAAAGCCUUCGGCUCAACCGGAGAAUUGCAUCAGAAACUGGUGAACUUGAGUGCAGAAGAGGAGAGUGGAACUCCAUGUGUAGCGGUGGAAUGCGUAGAUAUAUGGAAGAACACCAGUGGCGAAGGCGGCUUUCUGGUCUGCAACUGACGCUGAGGCUCGAAAGCAUGGGUAGCGAACAGGAUUAGAUACCCUGGUAGUC